GGCUAAGGGGGCGUUUUCUUCCCGUGUCUUAUUUUUAGCACGUGUCACAUCGAAUGUUUAGAUACUAAUUAGGAGUAGUAAACGUAGACUAUUUACAAAACCAAUUACAUAAGUGGAAUCUAAACGGCGAGACGAAUCUAUUAAGCCUAAUUAAGCCUAAUUAAUCCAUCAUUAGCAAAUAUUUACUGUAGCAACACAUUGUCAAAUCAUGG
rnacentral:lncRNA from 1 species